rnacentral:rRNA from 1 species
ACGGGUGAGUAAUGCCUAGGAAUCUGCCUGGUAGUGGGGGAUAACGUUCGGAAACGGACGCUAAUACCGCAUACGUCCUACGGGAGAAAGCAGGGGACCUUAGGGCCUUGCGCUAUCAGAUGAGCCUAGGUCGGAUUAGCUAGUUGGUGAGGUAAUGGCUCACCAAGGCGACGAUCCGUAACUGGUCUGAGAGGAUGAUCAGUCACACUGGAACUGAGACACGGUCCAGACUCCUACGGGAGGCAGCAGUGGGGAAUAUUGGACAAUGGGCGAAAGCCUGAUCCAGCCAUGCCGCGUGUGUGAAGAAGGUCUUCGGAUUGUAAAGCACUUUAAGUUGGGAGGAAGGGCAGUUACCUAAUACGUGAUUGUUUUGACGUUACCGACAGAAUAAGCACCGGCUAACUCUGUGCCAGCAGCCGCGGUAAUACAGAGGGUGCAAGCGUUAAUCGGAAUUACUGGGCGUAAAGCGCGCGUAGGUGGUUUGUUAAGUUGGAUGUGAAAUCCCCGGGCUCAACCUGGGAACUGCAUUCAAAACUGACUGACUAGAGUAUGGUAGAGGGUGGUGGAAUUUCCUGUGUAGCGGU